AUGUACUCGUGGAGAUGGUUGCAAAUUUUCUCACGAUGAAAACAGAGGUGCCAAUACCGGCUGGGGUCACGAAGACCGUAGAAGUUCCAGGUGAGAUCAAGUAAAGAUCACAAUUGAUGUAGAGGAUAAGGAGGGAUUGUUCAUAUUGAUAUCCAAGUGGUAAUGCUAUACAUUGAUUAAUAGUUUCCGAGUUGUAGCUAGAAUCUAUGGGCAAUAAGAUUUGUUGACCAUUAGCUUACACAUAGAUGUUUUGCUCUGUAUAUGUCAAUCUUAUUUUCAGUAUUCACCUUCACAUUUA